AAUAGAUACCCGGGUAGUCCACGCCGUAAACGAUGGAUACUAGGUGUGGGAGGUAUCGAACCCUUCCGUGCCGCAGUAAACGCAAUAAGUAUCCCGCCUGGGGAGUACGGCCGCAAGGUUGAAACUCAAAGGAAUUGACGGGGGCCCGCACAAGCAGCGGAGCAUGUGGUUUAAUUCGAAGCAACGCGAAGAACCUUACCAGGACUUGACAUCUCCUGAAUUACCCGUAACUGGGGAAGUCCUUCGGGACAGGAAGACAGGUGGUGCGAUGGUUGUCGUCAGCUCGUGUCGUGAGAUGUUGGGUUAAGUCCCGCAACGAGCGCAACCCUUAUUGUUAGUUGCUAACAUUUAGUUGAGCACUCUAAUGAGACUGCCGGGGUACAACUCGGAGGAAGGUGGGGAUGACGUCAAAUCAUCAUGCCCCUUAUGUUCUGGGCUACACACGUGCUACAAUGGGCGCAACAACGGGAAGCGAGCUAGUGAUAGUGAGCAAAUCCCUAAAAAACGCUCUCAGUUCAGAUUGUAGGCUGAAACUCGCCUACA
rnacentral:rRNA from 1 species